CCUGUGCAUUACUUAAAAGUCUGUUGACCACUCAAAACCUUACCUUCUGGGACUGUUAGUAGGCACAGUAGAAAUUAUCAAUGGUUCCCUCCCUCUCAUAUUGUUAAGAAAACUCUUUCCCCACCCCCAUUUCCCAUUUGCCCAUCAAACAAUGACCUAUACUUCCCUUCCCAAGUAGCCAUAGUCUCACCAUCUAUGCAAGAUUUUCCCUCUCCAUGGCCCCUUGUGCGCCCUUGGACCCUUCUUAUGGAUUAUUAAUAUUCACAGUCCUACCAUUGGGUAAGGUUAUGCUCCUUCCACCUGCCCCAUGCCCAGUCCCUUUUGUCUCCUUUGCUGUGUAAUGUUGACUGAGCAAGAUCCUCUCUCUAGGACUAAAUCCCAUAUGUCACUGGUUUACCCACCUUAUAUUGCUCUAAUGGCUCAGUUGCACUUGCCUUGGUCCCACCCAUCAAGCCUCAACCUCUCCACUUACCUUGCAUAUGCUUUUCAGCAGUGCUGACCACCCAAAGCCCUUUCUAUGUUACUAAUGAAUACAAUAUUGAUUGUCCCACUUUACAACCCAUCACUUUAAGAACUCUCUACCACUGUGAUGUGUCUGUGCGGCACUGAUGAACAAAGGCAGGCCUAGAACUAUGUGAAUGAACCUUCAUUAUUUUCUUCAGUUUCCAAUGAUCCCAAUUCUAAUUAUUGUCACAUUCUGGGAACAGGAGUCAUUCCUUCCCAGCUCUAUUAUUGCUUUAUUGUGUAAAAUAGCCACAGCACAGCAGACUCCAUGAGCUGGAAUGUCCCCCUUUAUCUUGCGUUUUUAAUUGUACAAUGAUUAAUUGAUUGGAGGAGAGUUUGGACGUUUUAUCUGCAUUCUUCUUCCAGAGAAGAUUGCCUGGUUAAAGAUCUCUGUGUAUUGUUGUGGUUCAGUGCUGACUGCUAGGACGCAAUGAGUAAAGUUGUCAGUUGCUUGGUUUCUGAAGAAAGAUACAUGGUUUGCAAGGUGGUAUUGAUAACCUGGUCGUAAUUGUUUUUGAAGCCAGCCCAUUUAUGUUAUGCACUUAAUGACCGGUGUUUCAUUUUAUUGAGGAUGGUGGGUCUGUGGAUAGACCGCUGCUACUUUUGUGUUGUAAUUAUGAUAUUACCAAAGGGGCUCUAGAGCGGACAUCUUAAGAUCAGUAUCUUUGUUUGGCUAUAUUAUCAUUUUAAAACCGUUUCCUGUUGGCCUUUUAUCACCAAUUGCUUUUAGAAAAAUGAUCAAAAUGUUCUAAUCCAUCAAUUUCUUCAUAUGAAGCCUCAGCCUCUACUUGCUUCAAGAAGGUGGCUAUAAAAAUGAUUAAAUGAGAUAACAUACGCUGAGAUGUUUCUGAAAACCAUAGGUCACCUUGUUUGAUUAUUCCUUUAUAUAAAAUGGAUCACUUAGUUCUGCUAAUAAUUUGAGUUAGAUUGAAGCAAGCAUCACACUGAGGUGAAUUAACUAUACAAAUGAUGGAAUCAGUUUCUCCAUUUGAUUAAAAGAAAUUAGCCGAUGAUUCUUAAUGUAGAUCUCAGCAGUGGGAUAACUGCCCUGUAAGAAGGAAUAAUAUCCUAGCAUCUAGCGUACAGCGUUGCUGUGGUAAAGGUGUGUUUAACGUGGAACUGCUGAAGUUCAUAGCUGGCUAGUCAUCACAGCAGCCGCUCUUUAAUCACUGACAAAGGAUGCUAUGACUCUAAGAAGGAUGUCAAAAGGUUGACCCAGCUCAGCUUGCAGUUUGUACAGCUAACUCCUUGGACAACGUUAAGAAGAGUCUUUGGCCCUUAAGGAUUCUGCCUUUCCCAACCAUGUGAGACCUGAGGACGGCAAGCAGCUGCAAAAAGAUUUCAAGCUCCGCAGAUCUUUCCUUUUGAUACUCUGGACAGGGUCCAAUUAUUCUACGUGCCUAACUUGCAGGCUGCCUGGAGAAGAAGAUCUCCUUGGAAGAAUGGGCUUGUUGCUUUACAGUGCUAGUGAUCCAUUCCCUUUGACGAUCCUUAGGUGGAGCUGGGGCAUGAGGAUCCUCCCGGGGAAAAGCUCAUUAUCACUGGGCAACAACCCUAGGUGAUGAGGUUCUACCAAGAUGCUUUCCUGGGCCUAGAGAAGAAGAUGAAACCCAAAAGACAAUCACCGCUGUGAAGGUUAGGAGAACAGAGACAAUAGCUGCCUCACCUUUGGAUGUUGCUGUUUGAGAAGAUAAACUGGGGUUGCAUUGUUUUGUGCUGUGCCUGCUGAUUCAUAGAUAUCAUAUACCCACAAAAGAAAACCUGGAUCUAUGUUUGGGCAAGAUUAAGCAACAAUGUCCCUGAGUCCUCCAGCUCUUGAGUGUUACUUUCAUGGCUGUCAAGUCAUCUAUUCCAAAAUCAGUGCAGAGAACUGGGGCUUCAGCUGGAUCAAGAAAGUUGGACAUCCUGGAAGAAGCCUUCUGACCUGAAGAUCAACAUGCUUGGCAAUCCAAUAUUUUAGAGUAGCCAAAUGAAAAUGUCUUUGCUUAUUUCUGACUUCUAAGUGUGCGUGUCUUUUCAUCUCUUUUCCUUCUUGAGCAUCUUCGUUGUUCUCGAAAGUGUGUGUCACCCAUUUCUGUGUGUCUCUUGUUAAUUUCUUCUAUGUGUGCUUUCGCUUCACUCUCUCUCUCUUGUCCUUCAGUGUGGAGUCGGCUUUGUCUGUGUUGUAUCUCUAAUGUUUUCCUUGUUGUUGCUACUACUCUGUGCUCUACUAUAUGUGAUUCUUAUUUCAUCAUGUCUUUGCUUUGCUUCUCUACUCUGAGUCACGUGUUGUGUGCUUUUCCAUGCCACUUUCUCCUUCUGCCUACCUACCUUUGUCUUUGUCAUCUCUUGUUUGUCACUCCUUUCGCUUCUUGUUGACCUGAUGUUGUGCUUCAUGUUUCUCUGAUUCUGAGCCCUUUUCUGAUGCUUCUAAUCUUGCAUUUCUCUUUUCUGCAUUUCCUUUUGGCCGCUCUCUGGCGGUUUUCUCUCUUUUUCUUCCUUUGUGUGCCUCAGUGUCUCUUUGUAAGUUUCUACCUGAGCAUCCAUCUUUCUGCUUCUUUGUGUUUCUUCUCUGCCUUUCCCUCUCUGCUGACCUUUGUUUCAGCCUCUUUGUCUUUGUCUGCUCCUCUGAUUGCGUGUACUCUUCUUUCUUUGGAUCUUUCUUUGCCUAUGUGCCAUAUGUGUGUGUCGUAUGUGACUGAGGGUGUUCCUAGCCCUUCCUAAUAGGUGCAGAAUGCUAACUGCCAAAAGAAACAGUGCAGAAGCUCUUCCUUAUGUCAAGCUGCCUUAUGAGAUAAUUGAUACCAAAACACGACGUGGAGGUCAGAACUGAGGUAAAACCUGAGACCUGAGAUGGACAAAGACUGAAAGCACAGAAUGCAUAGAAGGCCCAAGUGGAAGACAGAUGCUUUGACCCUUGAGGACUAAGGUGGAAAAGUCAUGUCUGAAAGAGACAGAAGCCUCAGGCCUGAAACCAAAUAGAACCCUUGAGAACUAACAUGUAUAGGAAGUAGUCUUAGUUGGACACAUGGCCAAAGUCCUAGGAUGGAGGCUAAAGGACUAAGAGCUGGGAUGGACACAUGGUAAACCUAAAAACUGAGAUGUGUGAUACAAAGUGCAAGACCCCAGAUGAGCUCAAGGUUAUAAUUUGAAAAUAUCUACGACCCCAGGAUGGAAGGCUGCAGGCACACCUCAACCAGGACUCAAGCCUCAGCAGAUGGAUGGAAGACUCAAGAGAAACUGAUCUGCAGACCAAAGUUUCUGGCAUCCCUGUCACUGCUGAUUAAACCAGCGUAAAAGAACAUGCUAUCUGCGUUAGUUGCGCAAAUGAAGUUAUAAAGGAAAUGCCUUCAUCUCUUCCCUUCUGCUUCUAAGAAAUCUUGCCCAAAGGCUAAUAUAAAUACAAAAACCUAGACUUGUGAAGUCAUGUAAAAAACAGACUAUUUUGAAGAUCCCAAAAUCUUGCUCUGUGGGUGACCAACAAAAAGCAAUUUGGAGCCAUCACACAUCAUGGCAAAAACUGGGGAGUUGCAUACUGUAAAAUAAAAAGUGCUGCUUUGAGA